UGUGCAAGCAGCCCGUGGAGGGAGGGACUGUUGUUAUGUCCAGUGUAUUCAUCAGGACCUUCGGGUCAAAGAGGCCCCUGGGUGACACCACUGGCCAGGGCAAGGGCCUGGGUCACAAAUCCUCCUUCUGCCUGUCCCCCGACACCUGCCCCACCGCUGCCUCUGGGCCUGAAGUCACAGCAAGUAGCCCUCUUCUCUCCAGCUCGGAGCUCGCCCCCAGUGAUCCCUUUGGACAAACACCUGCCGGUCUGGUCUCAAAGCUUAUGCCAAAUCAAGUUCUUGUUCUGCAGGUAGAGGCAGGGGAUGGAAAAAUCCACAGAUUCCACUUUGAAAAGAACUUCAAUUUGGGGGCAAGGGAGGGGUGGAAAGAGGAGAGGUUUAGGAAAUGAUUCAGAAACAGCUGAACUUUGAAAAACAGCAGAAAAAUCUCUCAGGCGCUGCAGAGCAGUGCAUUUUUAAAUGAAGCUGUGCCAAGGGACUGAAAAAUUGCUUAUGAGCAGAGGACAGCGGCCCAGGGAGCAGUUGAACUGACAGGGCCGAUGGAACUGCUGGGAGCGCGGUUUCUUUAGAGGCAGCAAGAGAAACUCAGAGCACGUUCUUCAUCACCGAAUUCCAGGAGGUCACCAAAUUCUACAGCAGCCCAAUAGUACGACCGCUAAAUACGACAGGUCCCAGCUACAAUAGCCACUAAGUACUACGGCCACUAAGUACUACAGACCCUAACUACUAUGCCAGAGGGUCCUGUCACCUAUAGUUUCCCCUGCUAGUUCACCUUGGCUAUCCAGAGAAACUCGAGGAGGUGGAAGAAGCCUGGGCCUUAAUGUGGUGACCACAGGAACUCAGCACAGCCUGGGAUCUACAGCAUUGGCUCCCCUGCCUCUCAGGCCUCUCGACUUGGACUGAAUUAAACCACCAGCUUUCCUGGGUCUCCAACUUGCAGAUGGCAGAUUAUGGAACUUCUCAGCCUCCGUAAUCACAAG
rnacentral:lncRNA from 1 species